CAUGUAAAAAAAAAGUGUGUAUCUGGUACGGGGGGUUGCCCUAGAUCCCAGGACUUCACCACAGCAGAAGAGCUGGCCCUGCAGUUGAACAAAGGGAAGCCGGUAAUGGAAGGGCUCCAGGGAGGGACACCUACCGAUUCCUGCCAGCAAGAGAAAGUGGCCUCUUCAUACGAGAAUUCACAAACAGAUGUCUCUAUGCCACACAUCUGAAGAGAUAGAUACAGCCGACUGAACUGCAGAUCAGGGAGAAGAAGAGAAAGCUGGAAGAAAUGGACCUUGAUGUGUCAAUUGACACUAACCAUGACUGUAACACAAUGCAUUUACUCACUGUUAUUGUUUUCUCUCCAAAGCUCAAAGAUGAAAAGUCACCACAAAUGCAACUAGAAAAAGUAAUUUCUUGAGAAAUUACGUGGGAGAGCUGAUCUGCUGCCGCAAAGAUGCCAAACGCUGAUUAAGCUGCUUACGUCAAAAAGUUGACUACGUCCAAAAGUUGACUACGGCAAAACGAUGAAAACAAGAAAAUGUUGACAAAGAUUAAAACAAUGACAAAAGAUGGCGAUUAAAAAGAUGAUGAUUAAAACGAUGACCAAGCUCAUACUAAGACAAGAUUAAAAAUAUGACAAUGAUUCAAAAGUUGACCAAAGUAAAAAGAUGUCAAAGAUUAAAAAGUUGACCAAGGUGCAUUGUUGACAAUCAUAAAUAAGCUGACUAGCUUUUUGAUUUGAAGAAAGUAUUUGUAAGUAAAUACCUAAAUGUGUAAUCGUUUAAUAGCUAGUAAAAAUUUACCAGUCAGAAACAAAAAUCUUGCCAUUUAAGAUAAUAAAUAACAUUGGUGCUUUUAUUUUGAAAGGAUUUGGAGUCGUGUGUGAGUGAUUGCUAAACUAUAAAUAGUCAUUAGAUAGUCAUAAUUUAUCAUUAAAUAGCAAGAAUAGACCUAUUAAAGCAAAAGAUUUAGAUUAAGCCCUUUCAGAAUAAAAUCACCCUAAUAAGUGUGAGUGGUUAUUUACUGAACUCUAAAAUAGUCUCAUUAACGAUUGGUAAGUAUUCAGAACCAGAAAAUUUCUAAUCAAUCUUGCCAUUAAAGGUAAUAAAUUGUAA